CCCCGGAAACGGCAAGGAUGGGGCUGGCAGGGCCGCUGGGCUCCCAGAGGCCCAUGAGCUGUGAGACCAGGAUAUAAAGAGAACAAGAAACAGGUCUCCACCCGAGGCAGGAACCUCCCAUGGGCCACAGUGAAGUGGGGCUGAGGAGGGAGCUGGGGACGCUGGCCUUGGUGUCUACCCAUCUGCGUGGAGGUGUUAACCACAUGAGAUAGUGGCCAGUGUUGAGAUCUGCCAAGGGAGCUGUGGAGCUGGCUGUGCCCAUCCUGAGACAUGUGCCCAUCCUGAGACAUGUGCCUACCACCAUCAUGAAUGAACAGAGCUGUUUCCUGAAAGACAAAUGAUGAACUGGGAAGGCUGCCCGCACAUACUCAGGCUCUCUUGGGGAAGCCUCAACCAAAGACAAAAUGUGUGGUUCAGAAUCACGUUGGCAACAGAGCAGACCCUUUCCAGUGUGUCUGAAAGAAAUGAGCUAAGAACUAGUUGUGGUUCUCUGGAGACUUCACCCUGGUUCCUGGAAGUAAAUAUUGUGAAAUUGAAUUUGUGAUAA